GCAGGGGUAGCUUUAUGCUGUCAGAGAUGCUGGUGACAGCCGCGGGAGCGCUCUCUCUGGGAGUAGAGUCCGCCCACACAAUGUCAGGAGCCCGGUGGACCCCCGGACCCGUCUGUCUUUAGAAACUCGGUGUUGGAGAGCAGACAUGAGGGCUCCGCUGGAAGCUGCGUGAAAAUAACAACGGUGGAACAGCCACGACUGCCAUUGUCAUCUUUACCGAACUUAAGUUUCUUGGAAAAAAAAAAUUCUACACCCUGAACCAGAACAUCCGUGAGAUUCCCCCAGAGGUCUCGUCUGUGGGAGGAGGGGACAAGCGAGGCGGGGACGGGUCCCCUCCCUCACUUCCCAUGAGGGUCCGCGAAGAGCUGCAUGUCUUACCUGGAUUUCUUCAAGCUCUUCCACAAACCUGCGUGGGACCCCUGCUAAAAUGGUCACAGGACACGGCCAUCCCUGCUCCUGCUGCCUCCGAGACGUGGAAGAUGUAGAUUCUUAGCAAGGAUGAGACCUGGGCUCAGAGAUGCUGACUGCCCCCACCCCCAGCUGGCCACGGAGCCAGGCCAGGACUCAGACAUGGGACUUCCCAGAGCUCCACCCCACAGCCAUGUCUGUGCUUGUCCUCAUGAGGUCGUUAGCCCUCUGCAACAAGAAGCAAUGGCACAGCAGAGCCCCUGACCCUGGCUGUUGUCUGGGCGCUGGAGUGUGGACUCUGCAGCCCAUGCAUCCCAGCUCCUCUGUCACCAUCCACAGGGCGGACCUUGGUUUCCCUGGACUCAGGGAUGGACGUCCUGCAGCAGGUUUCCCUGGGGAAGACCUUAGCAUCCUGGUCUGGAAACUGGGGAUAAUGACAACAUUUACACCAGAGGACUGCUGAACAGAUUAAAUGAAAUAAAGUCAACUUCAUGAUAAGCACACAGUGAAUGUCAGAUGUCAUUUUGAGUGACUCAAAAGCAACCCACCCCCUGUGUUCUGAGAGUUCUUAAAAUAUUUGGUAACUGUUACCAUGUAUGGAGUGUCUUCCAAACCUCCAGAUGCUCCCUGACUUAAC
rnacentral:lncRNA from 9 species